UUUAAAGAAUGACUGUUUGUUUUCGAAUGAAAAGAAAAAAAGAUGUGGAGAUAAAUGUUUCUGAUUGGCUAGGCACUUUGGAAUGGGAAAAGAGAAGCUUGAAAGUUGAGACAGUUUGAGAAAGAAAAGAUUAUUAUGUUAUUGGCAUCGCUGAAGAGCAGUCAACGUUUUCGUGGAUAGUUAGAUAGCAAGUACCGGUGGGUGUUUUGAUAGUGGAGAAUAGAGCUGAAAAGUGGAACGAGAGACAGAUCAAAUUGAGACGAAAUACCUCUUUGAUUCUGUAUUAUUGUGAGAAGGAGAGGAGAGAAUUUUUGGAGUUUGUGUUUUGUUGGAGAAUUGGUGCUGGUAUGCUGAUAGAUUUGAAGCUUGAGAACGGAGAGGGCUUUGAUGGGUAGCCUAACAUAGUCAACGAGGGAGAGCUGUUUUGGGUCAAGAGAAGACAUCAGAGUGAGUGAAGCAAAAGUUGGGCUGUUCUCCACAAUAUACAGCUUCUAGAACAUCAAAGAUCGACAACCUAUCGCCUGGACCAGAAGCAUAUGACGUUAAACCUGUCAAAUGUAUGACACAAGCUGAUAGAAUUGCAGGCCACGAAAAAGUAAAAAAACUCUAUGUUUGUCGAGUUCCCUACACCCUUGUUGGAUCUGGACCUUCGGUGCCCACUAAACUUAAUGCUAAUGGUUAUUCUGUGAGUCAUUUUGGAGAUGUGAAGCCGAUUCCUGCCACAUACCACGAUACUACAUUAGGUCCAGCGUUUUAUGACAUGGUGCAAAAAUCUCGUUACGAAAAGCAAUACAGAGGCAUCGAUUGGCAAUGCAGCAAGACAAAAAGAGAUUCCUACAAAAUAGACACGAACAUUCCUGGACCCGCCGACUAUUCUCUAAAGAUACCUACGUGUCCUCGGAAUCAAGAAGACGAAGAAUUCCGCGAGAUGGCGCGACUAUACACUUUCCUUCCGCGAUACAUGGACAAGCAAGAAAUGAUUACAAAAAAUAAUAAUUAUCCUGGACCUGGUACAUACGACAUCGACAACGGAGAUACUUGCAGAUUAUGCCCUCCUCUUAAGCCAACGGCAUUUUUACGCAGAAGUAAGAGAUUUAAGUACGAAUAUCCAGAUACGCCUUCUGCUACAGCAUACCAAUUUUCACCAAGGAAAUACUCUACAUCGAAAUUAGCAGUCCCUUUUGGAAUUGCUAGUGCACGGUUUUCCCGUAAAAAAACUGCUGUUACACCCGGUCCUGCUGAAUACUCAAUUAAGAGCGCAAUAAGUGAACAUUUGGAGAAGAGUCUAGAGUAUUCUGUGUACAAGCCUCCGUUCGGAAAAUCCGCUCAAAGAGAAACGAUAGAGUUCUCCAAGGAUCUACUCAUUGUGCCAUCUCCCCAGGCGUAUAGCAUUCAAGAUGUGAAAUCCUGCAAACUGUACACGAGCAGCAUAUUCAAAUCGAAGGUUGCAAGGUUUACGAAGCAAUGUAAAACAUUAUAUGGUGCUCCUGCUCGCUAUAACGACAUGGAUGCUUUCAACGCCACUAAAAACUUCAAAUCGCACAAUGCUUUUGACGUUUCAUUCAACGCAACUAGUCGCAAAAAAGAACUAUUUGACGAAGUUAAUAUUAAGAAUCCUUGUCCUUCUUCAUACGAAGUUAGAAAGGGACUCAGUCAAAGAGGUUGCAUUGUACCACAAUCUCCAAGAUGGAAACAACCUGCGGAUAAUUUUCCUGGACCAGGAUCAUAUUUGAUUCAUCCGAAGAACCAAAGCAGCAUGUUUAACGCCUUCAAUACCUAUAAUUCGAUCUUGAAAGAAGAUGUACUUAGAACAAGCUUACGAAAAGAAAGUAAAUUUAAAUGGGCGAAACGGGCAAAGGAGCUAAAGAAAUGUAAGAAACUGAGGUGGUUCGAAAACGAAGGAAAAGGUUAUGUGCAUUGUCAUAAAGAUCUAACGAAGCAUACUGGACUACAAGAAGAAGAACAGCAGCCGUUUUCAAGAGCUACAAUUAGAAUAUAAUUAAAACAGCGUCUUGUUUAAGGUUACAUACCUUAAAUUUGUGUACCACUGGUGCAAUAGGUAAGUUGUACAGAAAACAACAAAAGAAGUUGUUUAUUUGGAAUGGGUCUGUAUUCGCGAUUGAAACGGAAUAUAGAGGGCAGAUCGAAUGCAAGAAAAUGGCCGAUAUAAAUGGUAUAAACAAACAUUCAAUUGAGGAAUAGAACAAUACCGAUUUGAUUUAAAAUAUUUUAAUGUACUCAUAAUGCUGAAAUUUACUAAAAAUUUCUUAAUAGUGACCAAAUUCCGUUCAAAUCAACAAUUUUAUGGUUUGUUUAUACCACUUAUAGUAGUUUAAAUUUAUUCCACCAGAGGUCAGCUACUUUU